CAAACACUUGUGGGAGCUCCUAAACUUCUAAUCUUCCUGUAAAAUUAACCUGGCAAUGGAAUGUGAUGCUGCAGUCUGCUUAAAUAGUGUGUUUCCUGUGGGAUUGUAAGGAAGUCACUCCUGUUUCUGCUCCAGUUCCCUGUCUGAGCAAUAACUCUUCCUCCUCUGUGAGCUGCUGGGACGGUCUUGAUACACUGUGUAAAAGGGAGUUGAUGAGGCAGCUGACUUCUCCAAAGAGCUGUGGCAGAUGGAACAUACAGCCAGGAUUUCCAGUCCACUGAGCCACAGAACACAGGAGAGCUCCACUCUGAAUGUGUGGCAUGAAGAGGUGGAUUGUCAAUAUGUUAAUUAAUUAAUAUACCUGCUGACUUGGAGAUGGAUGCUGGGGAAAUCCCAGGCUGGCCUGGGUUGGAAGGGAACUUUAAAGAUCCUCAAAUCCACUCCCCUGCUAUGGGCAGAGCCACCUUUCACUACACCAGCAGCUCAAAGGUCUGUGAUGAAAACAAAAAGGUUUCUGGGGUUUUGUUGUUGGAUAUUUUUGAAGCCAGGCAAGAGUAAAAGGAGAGUGAUGGUGUCAACACCAAGGUCUGUGCAAGUGAGUCAAAGUGCCGCACUUAUUUCUCAUGAAAAAGCCAUUGGACACAAG
rnacentral:lncRNA from 1 species